CCGGCCGUUCGGUCGCGCGCGGAACGCCGGGUGCAGCCCUUAGGGAUCGUUACUCAGCAGCUGGGUCCUUGUCGCGAGGCCUUUACCACAGACCCGGCUCCUUAGAGGAGGAAAGGGCUGGAUCCGGCCGCUCCUGGUGGCGGGGUGCAGAGGUCGCUUGGCCGGAGCGCAUGCGACGCCUUUGGGGCGCCGUUAAUAGGAUCAGGCCUUUGCUGUGAGCUUGCCCAGGUCGUUUGGAGAGGCUGGAUCCCACCACCACGCAGAAGUCAAGGGGAGCAGGAUCAGACCCUCGCACCCCUGUUACAGAUGGGUCCUCAGUUGCCUACAUAUUGCUGUUCCUGCUUCUCUGGAUAGCACAGAAGUGUCUCUGCAGAUCUAGGAUCUGAGUUGAGAGAGGGGUCAGAGAUUGAGUAGGACAUGUCAUCCCCAUCUUGCUGGGGAGGAGAGGCAUGCUGGAGAUUCGAGGGAAAAGCAACAGUUUCUAGACUGCAGAGCAACACACUUUAUCCAACU